rnacentral:rRNA from 1 species
GAGGUUUGGCACCUCGAUGUCGGCUCAUCGCAUCCUGGGGGUGGAGAAGCUCCCAAGGGUUCGGCUGUUCGCCGAUUAAAGCGGUACGUGAGCUGGGUUUAGACCGUCGUGAGACAGGUCGGUCCCUAUCUGCUGCGGGCGCAGGAGACUUGAGGGGAGCUCUCCCUAGUACGAGAGGAUUGGGAGGGACGCACCUCUGGUGUGCCUGUUGUCGCGCUAGCGGCACAGCAGGGUAGCCACGUGCGGCAGGGAUAAACGCUGAAAGCAUCUAAGCGUGAAGCCCACCCCAAGAUGAGGUCUCCUUGGGCGUAAGCCCUGAAGGCCCCUCGUAGACUACGAGGUGGAUAGGCCGGGUGUGUAAGCGCAGCAAUGCGCUCAGCUAACCGGUACUAAUGGCCGAUCGCUUGGCCGC